UAUAAAAAAUGUAAGGGAUGAGUUAUUUUGUGAAAAUUAAUAAAUUUGGCGGUUAAUUUUUAAUUAGAGGAGCUUGUUAAAUAGAUAGUAAUAACUCUUUAGAUUUUUAAAUAAUUUGUUUAUUCAUCUCCGUUAUAAGAAUUUACUGUGUAAAAAGUAAUUGAACUAUAAUUUCAGGUCAAGAUGUAGCAUUUAUAAGUAAAAAUUAGCUACAGUAAGAAAAUUUUUGGAUUUAAUUAGGAAAAUAUUUAGAGAAAUUGAAUUUAGUUGUAAUAAUAUUUAGAAAAAUAAUAUGAAUUGAUAAAAUUAAUGUACAUAUUGCCCGUCACUUCUGAUUAAUAAAUAGAAUAAGUCGUAACAAAGUAAAUUUAAGGGA
rnacentral:rRNA from 1 species